AACAAUAUACUUAAAAAUUAAAACUUUUCUUUCAUACAUUCUAUCAUACGCCAAACUCAACCUGUGCAUGCACUGAACAUAAUCAUCAUCAUAAACUUGAACCCUCUAUGGGAUCUCAUCAAUGCCCCCAACGGGUGGCAUAACCUGUGUUGAGUUGGCUAACAUAGUCAUCAAUAAAUAUUAAGAUCAUGUAACAAAAAGGGAUUACAACAUCUAUAGGGUCAAGCACAACUUCUAAUCCUCAAUAUCAUUAUACAU
rnacentral:lncRNA from 1 species